UACGUAGGGUGCAAGCGUUGUCCGGAAUUAUUGGGCGUAAAGAGCUCGUAGGCGGUCUGUCGCGUCGGAUGUGAAAAUCCAGGGCUCAACCCUGGGCCUGCAUUCGAUACGGGCAGACUAGAGUUCGGUAGGGGAGACUGGAAUUCCUGGUGUAGCGGUGAAAUGCGCAGAUAUCAGGAGGAACACCGGUGGCGAAGGCGGGUCUCUGGGCCGAAACUGACGCUGAGGAGCGAAAGCGUGGGGAGCGAACAGGA
rnacentral:rRNA from 1 species